rnacentral:rRNA from 1 species
GACGAACGCUGGCGGCGUGCUUAACACAUGCAAGUCGAACGGAAAGGCCCUGCUUUUGUGGGGUGCUCGAGUGGCGAACGGGUGAGUAACACGUGAGUAACCUGCCCUUGACCUUGGGAUAACUUCAGGAAACUGGGGCUAAUACCGGAUAGGAGCUCCUGCUGCAUGGUGGGGGUUGGAAAGUUUCGGCGGUUGGGGAUGGACUCGCGGCUUAUCAGCUUGUUGGUGGGGUAGUGGCUUACCAAGGCUUUGACGGGUAGCCGGCCUGAGAGGGUGACCGGCCACAUUGGGACUGAGAUACGGCCCAGACUCCUACGGGAGGCAGCAGUGGGGAAUAUUGCACAAUGGGCGGAAGCCUGAUGCAGCAACGCCGCGUGCGGGAUGACGGCCUUCGGGUUGUAAACCGCUUUCGCCUGUGACGAAGCGUGAGUGACGGUAAUGGGUAGAGAAGCACCGGCUAACUACGUG